rnacentral:sRNA from 1 species
GCUGGGUGUGGUGGCGCAUGCCUGUAAUUCCACCUGCAUGGGAGGCAGAGGCAGGAGGAUGGUAGGUUUAAAGCCAGCCUUAG